rnacentral:rRNA from 1 species
UACAGAGGGGGCAAGCGUUGUUCGGAAUUACUGGGCGUAAAGGGCGCGUAGGCGGCCUUCUAAGUCGAACGUGAAAGCCCCGGGCUCGACCUGGGAAUUGCAUGGGAAACUGGCAGGCUUGAGUGUGGCAGAGGAGGGUGGAAUUCCGCGUGUAGCAGUGAAAUGCGUAGAGAUGCGGAGGAACACCGAUGGCGAAGGCAGCCCUCUGGGCCAACACUGACGCUCAGGCACGAAAGCGUGGGGAGCAAACAGG